rnacentral:rRNA from 1 species
GCCAGACUCCUACGGGAGGCAGCAGUGAGGAAUAUUGGUCAAUGGCCGAGAGGCUGAACCAGCCAAGUCGCGUGAGGGAUGACGGCCCUACGGGUUGUAAACCUCUUUUGUCGGGGGGCAAAGAGAGUCACGUGUGGCUCAUUGAGAGUACCCGAAGAAAAAGCAUCGGCUAACUCCGUGCCAGCAGCCGCGGUAAUACGGAGGAUGCGAGCGUUAUCCGGAUUUAUUGGGUUUAAAGGGUGCGCAGGCGGAGGUGCAAGUCAGUGGUCAAAUUGCGGGGCUCAACCCCGUACUGCCGUUGAAACUGCAUCCCUUGAGUGCGCGAGAAGUAUGCGGAAUGCGUGGUGUAGCGGUGAAAUGCAUAGAUAUCACGCAGAACUCCGAUCGCGAAGGCAGCCUACCGGCGCGCUACUGACGCUCAUGCACGAAAGCGUGGGUAUCGAACAGGAUUAGAUACCCUGGUAC